UGGUGCCCGCGCCGGGCCCUCGCUCCGUGCUGUACAGACCGGCGCUGGGGGACGGGGUUCCGCCUCUCUGCCCUCCCCCGCCUCCCCGGGCCGCAGCGUGGGACGUGGCGCCCUCUGCCGGAUGAUCGAGGCCUGGCCCCAAACCUCUAACCACGUUGAGCCCACUCGUGGUCCUGUCCCUUGCGGUUCCUCGGGCUGACUGUCCCCUACCCAGACCAGUGGUGGAAGAGGCGGGGCUCCUGGAGCCUAUCCGCAGCAGCAGGUGCAAGACAACGUAUGACCACCAGAGGGGAGCAGUGACCGCCCGCGGAAACCCUGAGACAACCACGAGCUGG